rnacentral:rRNA from 1 species
CCUACGGGAGGCAGCAGUCGGGAAUAUUGCACAAUGGAGGAAACUCUGAUGCAGUGACGCCGCGUAUAGGAAGAAGGUCUUAGGAUUGUAAGCUAUUGUCGUGCAAGAAGAAAAUGACUAUUGCAGGAGGAAGCCCUGGCUAAAUAUGUGCCAGCAGCCGCGGUAAUACAUAUGGGGCGAGCGUUAUCCGGAAUUAUUGGGUGUAAAGGGUGCGUAGGCGGAAUAGCAAGUCAGUAUGUGAAAUCUCUCGGCUCAACCGAGAAACUGCGACUGAAACUACUAUUCUUGAGUGUUGGAGGGGAAAGUGGAAUUCCUAGUGUAGCGGUGAAAUGCGUAGAUAUUAGGAGGAACACCAGUGGCGAAGGCGACUUUCUGGACAACAACUGACGCUGAGGCACGAAAGCGUGGGUAGCAAACAGGAUUAGAUACCCGAGUAGUC